ACUUGUCCUGCAGGGAGACAAUAUCACCACCUUUAAAAGCAGCUGUUCCUCCUGAACAUAGAGGAAAGACUCUCCUUUAGAAUGACAUAUUAGCUCUUACGCAUGACUUCAGCAAAAGUGAGCUUUAAUAAAGGGCCCACAAGCUUCCAUUUCACAGCCAGUCAGUCCAGAUUAGUGGAAGUGACGGAGGUGAAACCACUCAAUAUCUAACUUCACUGGGUGAUUAUGAUGCCGCCUUAGAGGACUUUAUUACACCUUACGUAGCCAUUGAUUUUGAAGCCAUCCAUGCGCUGAUUUAAAUCUUCACCAAUUCUCUCCUUAUUGAUUGUUUUAGCCGUUUUUUCCGCUCUCCCUGUUCAGUGGAGGAGCUCCAGUUCGCAAUAUAAAUGGUAUAAUUAUAGAAUAAAAACAGAUGUCAGAGGAGAGAUUACAGGUGUGAAAUGAAUUGUUGAAAUUAUACACCCCAUUGUCACCUCUGACCAUAACCAAAGACAUUUUUUUAUGCUCCAUUAAGAAAAUCAGGCUUUUUUAUUUUUUAUUCCCUCCUCUACAACGAGGUCAGAGCAGAGAGCUGGCAGGAAUCCUGUAGCUGCGAGAGACGUGCUGUCUUCCUGAAGGGAAGCUUUUCAUGCACAGGAUCUGAGAAGCAUCUAAGAAACAAACAAAGCUGAAAGUCACUUACUUCUUUUCUUUCUUUCAGAUUUGUCAGCAUGACAACAGUUGAUACUUUCUGCUCCCAUAUCAUCCUCCAGAAAUCUGCUACGGUGUCUUCUUUGGGACCUGAGAGACAACAAAAAAAGUACAUUUAAUGAUUUAUGGCGCCCAGACGCUGUGGCAGUGGUAAUGACCUUGGGGACCUGCUGGCUCCACUCUGCAGUGUCAGCCCUCCACCUCUAUGGGAACGAAUGGAAGGUGUCCCACGAAGAUCUAAGCCCAAUGUAUGAGAAAAUGCACGUGCUUGUGUGCUUCAUGCUGCUGUUUCGUAUAAAUGAAGAUGUUCAGUGAAAGGAGUUUUAUUCGUGACGUAUAACCAAUCAAAUCACUCCAGAAGACACAGCGACCACAGGCCUCCGUUGACUCGUCCCGCCUGCCGUCUCUGGAACUGAAGCUGGAUUGGAACAGACCAAAGUACAGUCCAAUCACGAUGCCAGCUGCCUCUCAAAAGGCUCCUUCAUCUGGCAGGUGGCGCCACUUCUUCUGAGGGGAAGCUGAGCUGGUCCAGCAGAACUUUGGAGAUGUGUUCCAGUGGUUGGUAGAUGUGUGGGGAGAUAGAGAGGGACCUUUGAAUUGUUCACAAAGGAAAACAGGGAAUCAAUUGGUAGUUUUAGUUUAGGGAGCUACUGCGGUGUGUUUUUGGGUUUUAAGAGGUGAACAGGAAGAGUUUUUUUUCCUAUUGCUUAUCUUUUACUUUGUUCCUGGUUGGAAUGCCCAUCAAUGUCAACAUGAAGUUCACUUUUAGUUCUGUUGAUUUAUUUUUAUUUUACUAACACCCAUUUGUUUUUAACCCCCUCACAUGUUGUGUUGUUGUAAACUGUAGCUGGAAAUGGUUGAUUUUUAAUGGAAUAUCUCCAUAGGGGUACAGAGGAACAUUUCCAGCAACCAUCACUCCUGUGUUCUAAUGCUACAUUAUGUUAGCUAAUGGUGUUGAAAGGCUAACUAAUGAAUAGAAAACCCUUGUGCAGUUAUGUUAGCACAUGGAGAAAAGUGGGAGUUUUCAUGGAAAACAUGAAAUUGUCUGGGUGACCCCAAUGGAUGGUGUAAAUGCAACAUGUGGAUUUGUGGGUGUAAUAUAUACAACUCCACACUCCUGAGUUUUAUCGUGAGUCUAAUACAGCUGUUAUUUCCCUAACAAGCCCCUAAGUUCAGCUCAAACAGUCCCAAGGUGACAAAAAGCAGCUCAAUACACGGAUGGACACCUAAUACACCCAUAUGCAUAUGCACUUCCCUCUCUUUGACUCAUCCACAUCUCCAGGGUCGUGGUCAAUCAGAUUAGAGCAUCGCACUGAGAUCUCCGAGUGCACCAGCACAAAUCCAUUUACAGAGAUAAGCUGUGAGGGCAACUGCUGCACCACAAACACACACACACACACACACACACACACACACACACACACACACACACACACACACACACACACACACACACACACACACACUCACAUGGAUGCAGAGUGAGGAAGAAGAGAUGUCACUUCACCCACUGAGUUGCUAUCAGGCCUCAGCAUCAGUGCAGCACAACAAUGUUUACACAAGCCCUCUCUGACCUGCAACUGUGUGUCACUUCCACAAACACAAUGUACAGCUCAGGACCCCUCCAAAGGGUCGCAAGAUUAAUCUCAGGAGUCAUGAGAUGAUUAACAGGAUAGAGAAAUGCACAUGUAUUGUUGCCCUUUAAGGCUGUGGCCAAUCUUUCUUCCUUUCUUGUGAAUUAUUGGGUAAUCUUAGUUUUGCAAGUAAUCGCUAAAAAGAGACCGAUUCUUUUCCAAGAAGCUAAAAAAAUCUGAGGAUGUGACUACGUUCUAAAUGCUGCAUAAUGGAAAAUACAGCUAUUACCACCAUAAUACUGUAAGUCGGUGUUAAAUUUUUAAUGAUAAGACUUUAAUUAGAAGAGAACAGCAGCAGCAGCAGUCUAGCACCUGCUUCACCACAGCAGUGUUAGAGAGACGUGAAAGUGAGAGAAGUGGCAGAAAGCACAUUGUGAUUUAUGGUGUUUACAGCCCAACUCGAAAGGGACAAAAUCAGUCCCGAGAUGAAAACCGCAGCAGCAGAAAUUAUAAUAAAUGGCACUGCAGGACACAAAUGCAUGUGUGCGGAUGUUCUGCUUCUCUGAUCAGAUGUGAAUAGAGCUGUGUCCCUGAUGAACCACACACAUUGCAGGCUUAAUGUUCCAGAGCGAGAGGACAGACAGCCGAAAGGAGGAGGCUGAUUUCGUUAGCCGAGGCUCCCUUCGCCUGUCCACAAACACACCAGAGUAUCUUGGCAUCCAGGUCUGCUGAACACCACCGAGUGGCCCUCAGCCAAAGCAAGCGGGAUGUGAAUGUGAUAAUAUCAUAUAGCAGCUCUUCCAAACUUGGCAACUUUGCUGUUAUAAUCAAGUAUGUGGAAAUAUCCUAUAGGGCCCAGGCAGGACUAGAUCAAUUACAGGCAGACUUUGAAUGUGAUAAACUACAUCAACAGUGUUAUUUAGUUAGUGGGAAGCUAAAUGAGAAGUCUGAUUUAAUUCUCACCUGUAGCUCUCUUAGAUCAAUAACCAAAUAGAGUGAUGGAAAAAGCCUCUGAAAAGUAGAAAAUGUUCAUUAAGAACGUAAAUGAGAAGAAGCUGCUGCUAAGGCAAGGUGGAAUUGACUCACAGGUGGUUUAGAAAUAUAGAUUUAUUGGAUUUAAGAUGCAGUAUGUUACUGACUAUAAUAUUGCCCUGAAAUUUGCUACAGACUUUUAUAGUAGGAUGAAUCCUAAUGACUUUGGUGAUCUGAGCUUUUAUGUAGUGCAACAAACAGAUCAAACUUUUCACUUCUCCUAUAACAAAAUAUCUGAGAAAUAGACUGCAGCAAAGAUUUCUGUAGAUUCAUGAUUCCUACACAAUAUAUCAUUAAUGACUUUGAUGACCCUUUUAAUGAGGUUCACAUUUGCUUUUUUUAAAGUCCCUUUCUCAUUGUUGACUUAAACCAGGAAAAUUCAUCUCUGUCCAUCAAAGUUACAUAUUAAGAGUUUUUUCUCCAUCAAAACAAUCUCUUCCUACCUUUAAAUGAUUUACACAUAACUCUGUUGCUUCUUUUUGAAUGUCCUCACCUCCUUCCAAUGAAACUUCUGCCACUCGCUGUAGCUCGAGCACCCCAGCUCACCAGCAAUGCCGCUUAAACUACUUUAUACUACAUGAUGGCAAGGUGUAACAUCGAUAGAUAAAUUCAGGCAUACAUGUUGGAACCAGAAACUGAUUCCAAAAAAAGGAAUAAUGAUGUGGAAAGUCCCACCCUGCCAGUCAAAAGGAUUGGUUCCUUAAGAUUUGUUAUGGAAAAAUAAAAACAGAAGUCUAAAUUCAUGUUUUGAAACUGCUGUAGUUUCAAGAUAGAGAUGCUCAGCUACUGCAUUGAUAGUUUAUUUCACUCAUUUGUCUUUUAACAUAUAAAAAGCACCAUAUCGACGAAAAACUUGAUUUUCACUCAAGUGAAAGUGAAAAAUCUCAAUGACCACUGGACAGAUUUACAUGAGAAUCAGAAGAGGACACCCAUGUUGCUCUUACAAUAAACUGUAUAACUGUUGGUGAUUAACUUAAUACUUAGCGCCACAAUUAGGUAAAAUUUUCAGUUAGUCCAUGGCUUUGGUUUAUGACCAAACACCUGCGAAACUCCCUCCUUAUUGGUACUUUUGUUUGGUGUAAUUACCAGAGUAUAUGUGUUGACAAGCUGAAUUAAAAUAGUGAACAGAAGGAACAUUCUCAGCAUUGUCAUUCAGCUCAGUGUAUGUUACUGUAUAUACACAUCUCAUUGAUUUUUAAGUGUCUAGCUGUUGCAGCCUGUGGCUAUAGUAUAAAGCUGCUAUAUUGUGUUCUUUAAUCUCUGAUGAAGGCCUGUGGGUGAAAUGUGGCUGUUAAUCAAUACUGCACUGACGGUGCGUGGGAGUCUGCAGCUAAUUUGUUGUAUUCUAUUCUCCUAUGCACCUUACAUUAUAUACUAUUCUGCUUUAACAACAACAAAAAAAGGGGACCAAUCUGGACAGCCUGACAAUCCAAUUCUCAGUAGCAACACUCAGGCAUGACUUACAGCUGGCCAGAGGCCUCUAAAAAAAAUCCUCUUUCGGUUCAUUAUAAGUGCAGCAUGUGAAAACAGAGAUUAUUCAGCCUUCCAUCCAACAAUCUGAUACACAUCCCCUCAGUAGUGGUGUCUCUUCCUUCUCUUUCUUCUUCCUGCUUUCACAUGCUUUCCCAAAAGCUCAUUUCUCCCAGGUGCCUGGGAGCAGCUCAGACAGAACAGGGUGAGGAUUAAACAAGUCCCCAGCCGAGGAUUCCCUGCAACAUUUAAACUCCACGAACUCCAUGUGGUAAAUAUUCAUGGCGGAGAAAUAGUGUUAUUCCAGGACAAAAGGGAGGAAAACAAACACAUUUCCACACCACAUAGGCAUUUACAAGCUUCCCUCUUAAGACCUGCACAACACAUAUAGACUGGCAUUAAUGGGCAUGUAAGAAACAUGUACGCCCACACAAAGAGGGGGAAAAAAACCCUGUGGAUUUCUCAAGCUAUCUGUGUAUAUAUCUGGCUGCAGCCCAAGGCAACAUGUCUUGUCUGUCUGUGCAACCUUGUCUGGGAACAGAGAGGUUUCACACAUUGAAGAGAAAGUCAUGAACGCCUCCACUUCUUUUCACAAGAAAACUGCCAAAAGUGGGAACCAGAGUGAGAAAUCAAAAUACAAAUGUAACUGUGAAUACAUAACAAUGUUCUUUUUAGGAACGUGUUUAUUUAUCCACAGAAAUCAGGCUGUCUGUUGGAUGUUUAACACAUAUGCCAACAGAAAGACUCGUCACUGUAAGCUGCAUUCUUCCUUUUCUACACAAUAUAGACCAAAACGCCACUGUCCGUCUUGUACCUGUAAAUCUAGCUUCUUUUGGCUGGAGGUCAGGGGAACUCCUCCUCAGCCUCACAUCUUUGUCACUGUAUGGAGCUGACUCAGAAGCAAGCAGGAAGAGAAACAGUUUAGAUCAUAUCCUGUGUGUGAACUGUGGUUUACAGCCAAACAGAAGGGGUAUAAAAUUAGCUGGACUGUGAGAACUAAAAAGAGAGAUGGGGGAGAGAAGGGCCAGUCGGACUUAAAAACACAAAAGGACACUGGAGAGGGAAGGAGUCGGAGCCAUAACUGGAACAGCUCUGGGUGUCUUCCUGUUAAACACAACAACUCUGGCAACACACGUCGACAUUUGCUCAACGCUCUGUGGCAUACUAAGCCAGAUUAGAGAAGAAACAGCAAACUGAAACUGCAUAUUUGUGAGCUACGACCUGGAACAUUUAUUCGUGGGUGUGUCUCACACCCAUAAGCCAAGAAUUAGUUUUCUUAAAUGACUCAUUCUGUAAUAAAAAUGAAGUGAUAAAUACCAGAGCAGCAGCUUAUAGCAGCAAAAAAACAAAGUCUGCAUCCAUGCUUCAUUACACAUGAGCAAAAUGAUACAAGGGGAUAAAAUUUAAACUCAAUUUUCUUAGUGGCUUACCACUAAUGGAGCAAAAAAUGUAAACCGUAAGCAACAUUUAUAGUCUUGUUUGUGUACAUCUAAAGAAUGUGUUCUAAUGUGCUCUUUUUUUUCUCUCCACUAACUUCAGAGGGAAAUAUCGGGUUUGUCUUUUUGUAUGCAAAAUAUUCAGCACACCAAGUUUGUCUCCCUGCCCUUUGAUGCUGUGGAGGUUGUGUGCUGUCAGUUUACUGGCGCUGUUUGGCUGAAAAGGCUGCCUGCUGCACUACAAGAGAAGAUGCACUGAGAAGUAAAGGAACCUAAAAGAAGGAACUGUGCAGUUUGAUAGUAUCAUUUUCUGUGAGUUUGUUGCUACAAAUGAUGACUAUCUUAUAGACUACAAGUAAAAAUAACUUGAUGUUACUUGAGUGAUUGAUACAUUGUUAAAAUACUGCAGUCAUUUCAGAUUGGUGAUUGAUUGCUCUAGUCUGCAGCUGCAAUUAAUGAUUGUUUUCACUACUGCUUAAUCUGACAAUUUUUUUCUGGAUUAAAUUAAAGAAAUAAAAUGUUAGCAAAUGGUAAAAAAUGUUGAUCAGUGUUUCCCAAACCCCAAAAUGAUGCCCUCAAAUGGCUCGUUUUGUUCUCAGCCCAAAGAUAUUCAAUUAAAGGUGGAAUGAGAGUUUUGACACUUUUUUCAUUAGAAUGUACUCGAAUGGAUUACGUAAUCAAAAUAGAUGCCAAAUAAUUCAAUAGUUGACAACAAAUCAGCUAACUGAUUAAUCAUUGCAGCUCUGCUUAUAACAAUGCAAUAAGCAAACCACAGAGGCUGCAAUUCAGGAUACUCAUAUGCAGCAAUUUUGCAGACAGGCAAAUUUACUAAUUCCUGUCAUCCUCUUUGGUCUACUUACACCAAUCAUCCAUUAUCACAAUAGUUGCUAAUUAAUUUUAAAGUUGAUGACUAAAUUGAUUAAUUGUCACAACUCUAGUCGGUCUUGCUCUACUCAUUUAAACUGGUAGUGGCUUUCUGUCCUGUGUCUGUUAGACACAUACACACACACACACAAAGAGGGGGAUAAAGUCAGCUGUAAUAACAUCAAAAGUUAUCACAACAAUAACAUCAGCUGGGUUCUGACCUCCUCUGCUACAGCGAGACACCCUCAUACUGUCUGGAGGAAAGUUUUCCUGGGAUAGGAAGUGAGAGCUCAUAGGAAGAAUGCCCUGUAAACCUAAAUCAACAGGAUACGGAUCAUUUACAGGGUAACAUCCACUGAACUCAGGAGCAGCAACCGGCUACGCCUGAAAUAAAGUCCUCGAAACCUCUUUGUAUCUUCCUCUUCAAAGGCAUCACUUCAGCUGAUCUGAAGGCAGGGCUGUGCGCAUGAGUAAAUACUGCAAUCUGGUCAUCAGACGGAGGGGAACUUGCAUCCCCCACCCUAACCCUCCUUCCAGGAAGCAGCCAUGUAAAUACUCUGCAGUAUGAUCGUCUGACAUGUAACAUGAAACAUGCCGGCUGUAACUUGGAGGGCAAACGGAUCGUGUUUGCAGGCACUGGCGGCAGAUGCAAUAUUUCUAAAAAUGAAACUUAAGAUACAAUUUCAUAUUUCAUUCCACAAACAGCCCUGAGAGAAUUCUGUCUUGUCUUUCAGGGUGGAGCAUUACUCCCUGCCAGCCUUCAAACAGUAUCAAAAACCUGAUUUCUUCCCAGGUCGCAAAUUAUCCAGAGGCCCCGGAAUGCAGAUGCAAAAGCCAAGGUAACAGGAAAUUGGCCAUUCAGCACAUCAUCUACAGUAGCUGCUCCAGCCAGCCAACGGACUGAUGGAUGGCAAGUCACACUCGAGCUGCGACACCAUUGAUUUCCCUCUCAUACAACCUCGAGACUGCUGAUUCAAGAUAAUGUUACAUUUUUAAAGGCUUUGCUGUGAUAGUGGGGUCAUAAAUUCUGCAGAUGAAGCUGAUAAAUGAGCUGAAGCUACAUUGACAGGUCCAGGUUUUUCUUUCUCCUAGGUGUGUUCUGACACAGAGGCUAUGACAGGUGAAGGUGCUUAGUAAUCAGUGGAGACAGCGCAGGCAGGUGUUCUGAUCAUCAUCAACACUUCUCGAUAAAACCAGACAUCAUUCUUUGCUUGGAGUGGGACUUUCUUCACCUACUUGUGCCUCCUGGAUCCGCUGUCUGCUCUGUCCUGUCCGUUGGAGAGCAACUCACCUGUUGGAUUCCUGGGUUCCAUUCUUCUACUAGUCUGCUCUCCAUUCCUGCCUACAAAGCCAGCACCUGUCUCCUCACACCAGGAGCCGUUAGCCCCCAGCUCGCUUAACCCUGCCACUCCUACGCCUGCCUCUCCACCGUAGCCCUACAAUCUACACCUGCUGGGUCGUCACUACACUGGAAUGGUUGGAGCCAGUCCCCAAUCCCCAAUUUCAAUAAAAAAUUAUCAUGAAUUUUGGCGCAAAAAAAUGCCUUACUAUACUAUGUCGAAAAAAAUACACGAUUUUUCAACAUGUCGUGAAAACGUGCCAUAUGAUGAAAUAAUGUAAAGGAGGCCGUGAAAAACACUCCAGAAAGGUUUUCUUUGAAAAAAAAAUCAUCAUGAAUUUUGGCGCAAAAAAAACGCCUUACUAUACUAUGUCGAAAAAAAUACACGAUUUUUCAACAUGUCGUAAAAACGUGCCAUAUGAUGAAAUGAUAUAAAGGAGGCCGUGAAAAACACUAUGGUAAGGUUUUCUUUGAAAAAAAAAUCAUCAUGAAUUUUGGCGCAAAAAAAACGCCUUACUAUACUAUGUCGAAAAAAAUACACGAUUUUUCAACAUGUUGUAAAAACGUGCCAUAUGAUGAAAUAAUGUAAAGGAGGCUGUGAAAAACACUCCAGAAAGGUUUUCUUUGAAAAAAAAAUCAUCAUGAAUUUUGGCGCAAAAAAAACGCCUUACUAUACUAUGUCGAAAAAAAUAUACGAUUUUUCAACAUGUCGUCAAAAUGUGCCAUAUGAUGAAAUGAUAUAAAGGAGGCCGUGAAAAACACUAUGGUAAGGUUUUCUUUGAAAAAAAAAUCAUCAUGAAUUUUGGCGCAAAAAAAAUGCCUUACUAUACUAUGUCGAAAAAAAUACACGAUUUUUCAACAUGUCGUAAAAACGUGCCAUAUGAUGAAAUAAUGUAAAGGAGACCGUGAAAAACACUAUGGUAAGGUUUUCUUUGAAAAAAAAAAUCAUCAUGAAUUUUGGCGCAAAAAAAACGCCUUACUAUACUAUGUCGAAAAAAAAUGCGAUUUUUCAACAUGUUGUAAAAACGUGCCAUAUGAUGAAAUAAUGUAAAGGAGGCUGUGAAAAACACUCCAGAAAGGUUUUCUUUGAAAAAAAAAUCAUCAUGAAUUUUGGCGCAAAAAAAAUGUCUUAAUAUACUAUGUCGAAAAAAAUACACGAUUUUUCAACAUGUCGUAAAAAC